rnacentral:lncRNA from 1 species
UCCAUGAGGUUUUUGACUACCUUUCCAUAAAACUUAGUUUAAUGAAGCCUGAUUUUCUUCUGUUCUCUAUUCAAGGUGGUUCAUUACAAUCACGGCCUCGUCUUGAUGCCAGCUUGUGGACUUUCAUGAGUUGAACAAACCUAUACGUCAAUCCUAUGAUUCUCCUUCCAGAGGAAGGCUCCUUCUAACUCAGAGCCAAAGUUUAAACAGAGAGAACCAUCAUUUGUGAAAGGUAGACGAGAUCCCACAGAAUGAGUAUUUAUUUGACUCCUGGGGAAAGUGAGGACUCUCAAAUAAUGUCCAAGGCCAUACAAAUGAUUGUUGAGAAGACACAGAGGUGGAAACUAAGUCUGUGCAGUUUACGUGCUACGUUCGGUGCUUGGCAAGUGGGAGGAUUGUGUAUGUUCCGGAUCAAGGCAGGGAUGGGAAUGGUAACUGCAACUGCAAUAUUCUUGGCAUACAAACCAACUAAUUUAAAAGUGAAGCUCUUUGUGUGACUGAAUGUUUCCUGCCAUUAGGGUAAUGAAGAUUUUGGAAAGACAUCAUCAAAGCAAAAAUAGGAAAAUCCCUGAGUCUUUUGAAUCAUUAGUGCUUUAUUACAUUUACCAUAAACUCUGGUUUCCUAACUUAAAUAACAUGAAAUUUAUCCAGUUACAACAGUGUUUGUGUUACCUACAGAUUUCAGUUUAACAAUUUGCUUUCAAGCUUCAUAUCUGAUGGCCAUCUACCAAGUUCCCCAAGGCUAGUGUCGCAGAACAAGGUUGUAGGACAUGAUCCCAAGUGUCUUAGCUUGAGUUUUUGGAAGCAGGGUGUGGCUUAUAAUAAAAGCAUUUUCAGGUGAAGAGAAUUGAGGAAA